GAUGUACGCUGGCGGCGUGCCUAAUACAUGCAAGUCGAACGAAGAUCUAGCUUGCUAGAUCUUAGUGGCGAACGGGUGAGUAAUACAUAAAUAAUCUGCCCAUAUGACUGGGAUAACUAUUGGAAACGAUAGCUAAUACCGGAUAGGUUGAUUGGAGGCAUCUCUGAUUAAUUAAAGUAGGAUUUCUACACAAAUGGAUGAGUUUAUGGCGCAUUAGUUAGUUGGUGGGGUAACGGCCUACCAAGACGAUGAUGCGUAGCCGACCUGAGAGGGUGACCGGCCACACUGGGACUGAGACACGGCCCAGACUCCUACGGGAGGCAGCAGUAGGGAAUUUUCGGCAAUGGGCGCAAGCCUGACCGAGCAACGCCGCGUGAGUGAUUAAGGCCUUCGGGUUGUAAAGCUCUGUUGUAAGGGAAGAACAUUCAGGAUAGGAAAUGAUCUUGAACUGACGGUACCUUACCAGAAAGCCACGGCUAACUACGUGCCAGCCGCCGCAGUAACAC
rnacentral:rRNA from 1 species